UACGGAAGGGGCAAGCGUUGUUCGGAAUCAUUGGCGUAAAGGGCGCGUAGGUGGUUCUGUAUGUCUACCGUGAAAGCGUACGGCUCAACCGUAUUUUGUCGGUGGAAACUGCAGGACUUGAGGCUGGGAGGGCUGGUGGAAUUCCCUGUGUAGGCGGUGAAAUGCGUAGAGAUGGGGGAGAACACUCGUGGCGAAGGCGGCCAGCUAGACCAGU
rnacentral:rRNA from 1 species